rnacentral:rRNA from 1 species
GGGCCCGCACAAGCGGUGGAGCAUGUGGUUUAAUUCGAUGCAACGCGAAGAACCUUACCAGGACUUGACAUACUACGAAUCCUUUUGAGAAAAAGGAGUGCCUUCGGGAAUGUAGAUACAGGUGGUGCAUGGCUGUCGUCAGCUCGUGUCGUGAGAUGUUGGGUUAAGUCUCGCAACGAGCGCAACCCUUAUUUUUAGUUACCAAUUCGUUGGGUUCUCUAGAAAGACUGCCGGUGACAAACCGGAGGAAGGUGAGGAUGACGUCAAGUCAGCAUGCCCCUUAUGUCCUGGGCUACACACGUGCUACAAUGGUUAAGACAAAGAGUCGCGAGCUUGCAAAAGUCAGCUAAUCUCAUAAACUUAGCCUAAGUUCAGAUUGUAGGCUGCAACUCGCCUACAUGAAGUUGGAAUC